UUCACAGGAAGCAUUAGUGCAAAGAGGCUAAGACAGGCACAAACCUAGCAAAUUUAAAGAGUAGAAUUUCGAUUUUAUUCAAAUCAAAUCCAUUGAAGGGUUUUAAGUAAAGAAGUGACAUUAUAAACUUACAUUUUAAAAGUAUUAUUUUGGCAUAAGGACAGUCAUAUAGAUUAAUGGAAUAGAAUCAGGAAUCCGGAAGUAAACCCACAUAUCUGCUGUCAAUUGAUUUUCAAUACAUGUGCCCAGACCAUUCAAUAGGGAAAGAAUAGUCUCUUCAACAAAUGGUUCUGAGAAACUAGAUACUGACAUGCAAAAGAAUGACAUUGGGAUCUACCUCACCCCAUGUACAGAAGUUGACUCAAAUGGAGGAAAGGCCUAAAGGGACACAGAAGCCACUCCCAGCUUUGUCCUCUCUCUCUGAGCCACAAAGACCGUCAGGUGCUACAGAUAAAGAGACGUGGCCGCUGACUCUCAAUGCAGCAGCCCCUUGGGGACCACAGAUCCCAGAGCCAACAGCUGUUCUCAGGUCGUCGGAAGUGGUGAAGCUUCAAAAUCACGCUUCCUCCCGCCUGGCAGAGCCCCUACCCACAACCCAUCUCAUUUCUGUGAGGUCUGUGUUUAGAGACCCACAGAUUCCUCAAGAUGCUUUUUAAGACUUCCUGCUCUUGGCUGGCAAAUUGUUAAUCAGUUUGUGGCAGCAUAAAUAAAAUUAGAGGGUUUAAUUAAAACUAAUGAAUGAGUGAGCAGAGACCAGCCUGGCCGUGUUGCUCUCUGAGCCUCGGAGCAGUAAAUAAUGAAAGUGUCACACAGCGAGUGAGAUGUUUUAGCAGAAGUGUAGGGCCAGCAGAAACGAGGCCACAGAGAGCUCCUCCACCCAAGGUGCAAUUUGCAAGUUGGUGGAAACCCCAUUUUAGUGUGUCUUAUUAAUUAAUUCUGCAGAAACUGCUCCAGUUUUCUGGCCUUUCAAAAAAAGAAA